rnacentral:rRNA from 1 species
CCUACGGGAGGCUGCAGUGGGGAAUAUUGCGCAAUGGGCGAAAGCCUGACGCAGCGACGCCGCGUGAGGGAUGAAGGUCUUCGGAUCGUAAACCUCUGUCAGCAGGGAAGAACGGUCACUGUGCUAAUCAGCAGUGAAUUGACGGUACCUGCAAAGGAAGCACCGGCUAACUCCGUGCCAGCAGCCGCGGGAAUACGGAGGGUGCGAGCGUUAAUCGGAAUUACUGGGCGUAAAGCGCUCGUAGGCGGUAUGUCAAGUCAAGGGUGAAAUCCCCGCGCUCAACGUGGGAACUGCCUUUGAAACUGGCAAACUGGAGUGUGUGAGAGGAGAGUGGAAUUCCAGGUGUAGGAGUGAAAUCCGUAGAUAUCUGGAGGAACAUCAGUGGCGAAGGCGACUAUCUGGAACAUAACUGACGCUGAGGAGCGAAAGCGUGGGUAGCAAACAGGAUUAGAUACCCCAGUAGUC